rnacentral:rRNA from 1 species
CAGUCGCCGCGGUAAUACGAAGGGGGCAAGCGUUGUCCGGAAUUAUUGGGCGUAAAGCGCGCGCAGGCGGUUUCUUAAGUCUGAUGUGAAAGCCCCCGGCUUAACCGGGGAGGGUCAUUGGAAACUGGGAGACUUAGAGUGCAGAAGAGGAGAGUGGAAUUCCAUGUGUAGCGGUGAAAUGCGUAGAUAUAUGGGGGAACACCAGUGGCGAAGGCGACUCUCUGGUCUGUAACUGACGCUGAGGCGCGAAAGCGUGGGGAGCAAACAGGAUUAGAUACCCGAUAGUCCCUGUCUCUUAUAC